GUUGGGGGGAUGGGUGCUUCCCGAUGCUCGGAUCUCGUAUACCGGAGAGAGUGGAUCUGAGAUUGUGGAGACUUUCCCGGAAGACCGGGUUUUCCACGCUCCGCUCCCUGGGGGAGUAGAGGCGGUUCAGGCCCGUACGGCCAAUGCGAUGGUGGGGGUGAUCAACCGGUUGAAGUCCGCGUUGGUUCGAGCUCGGUCUGCACUUUCUUGCAGGAGCCCCCACUCUACUCGGACGGCUACUGGGCGUGCUGGGGCCGACGACGCGGGUCCCUCGGGCGGGGGACACGGUCGUCGCGAGAGAGAGAGAGCACAGCACUCGCCCCUACGGCAUAGCCGUUCUGACGCGGGGGUGAGUUCUUCC